CAGGCGAUCAGCAUGUAAGAGCGGACAUCAAACUUCUUCCCUUUCAGGAGAAGCGGGCUCUGAAUGUAACUGAGGGCAAAAGGGGCUUUUUUUUUUACCUUCAAGACAACAGAAAGUAAAAACCAAAUGUAUUUGACAACAUGUGCCACGAGUUCACUGUGAUUUUGGAACUAUUUUCCUCUUAGUGCAUUGGCUCAUGGAACAAAACGCUGCACAUUCUUAAAUCAGGUAUACUCUUCUUCUCCGUUUACAUUUUUUAAAUUUGAAAUUCACCCUCCAGUUGAACCUUUUUCAUAUAAAUGUAGUUUAUUCUACAUUUUGGCAUCUUUGGAUUACAAACCUGAAUUCUUAUGGAUUUAAUGUAUUUGAAUGUCUUUGUCUAUCUGUGUAUUCACUCAAUAUCUUUGUAAAUGAUUUGAAAAAUUACAGUUGAUACCACAUUUAUCCUUUUAUUAUAAUUUAUGCUAAGGAGCAAAUGUCAUGGUUGCAGUUUUGGUCAUUUGCACGUUUGUAACUAAAGCUUAAAUGGUUGUGACAUGAUAUUUAUUUGUAAAGUGUUGUGUGUUCACUCACUGCUGGACAAUGCGAGCCUGGCGUUGGCAGUGUUGCAUCCUCCUGUUGGCCUGGUUUUCCUCCAUGUUCUGCAGCUUCAGUCUGAACGCAGUUAAAUCCUCCUGGCUUUUCAGCAGAAAGAUCCCUCUGCCCUGGUUCAGACCCGUGGGUUUACAGAUCCACAUGUGACUUUCGUUGUAUCUCACACCUGGUUACGGUCACACAGAGACACACCAGCCCGUCUAGAUAAGAGAUGAAAAGCAGACAAACACAGCAGAGACACAGCUGUCCUCUUCACCUCAGCCCUCGGCCAUGGUUGACUUUGCUGCUGACUCGCUCGUACUCUCGCAGACUGCUGAGGAGGCCAAUCUUGGAGCCCCAUUGGCUCCACCAAAGAAAUAGAAAAGUCCUGGACCCCGCGGCUCAUCUAUAUGUCGCUCUCUGUCCUUGGUCAACACACCCCUGCGGAGAUAUUGCUUCACCACACACACACCUGUUAGAUACAGAAAUGAUGCAUCAGUGCAGUCCUUCAUACAUUCACAUAGAACACAUGUACAACAAAUGUCAGAAUAUGGUUGUUCAUACAAUUAUUAUUAGUAUUGUUGCUAUAUGCUGUGUUAAAGGAUCACUGAAUCAUAAACAAUCACAAGUCACACUCACCUGACCU